rnacentral:rRNA from 1 species
AUUCCAGCUCUGUAAGCGUAUACCAAAGUUGUUGCAGCUAAAACGCUCGUAGUCGGACGUUGGCGGGCGCCUCGAGUCGGCCUCACGGUCGAUCUUGUUGGCGACCGCCUUUGUGGAGGGGGGCUUAGGUCGGUGCUUUAUUGUCAUCCCUUUGUCGCUGCCACCGUUUACUGUGAAAAAAUUAGAGUGUUCAAAGCGGGCGUUUGCCAUGAAUACAUUAGCAUGGAAUAAUAGAAUAGGACCUGGUCCUGUUUUGUUGGUUUGUGAGUAUCAGGUAAUGAUUAAGAGGGACGGUUGGGGGCAUUUGUAUUCCGGCGUCAGAGGUGAAAUUCUUGGAUUGCCGGAAGACAAACAGCUGCGAAAGCGUCUGCCAAGGACGUUUUCAUUG